rnacentral:rRNA from 1 species
GAUGAACGCUGGCGGCGUGCCUAAUACAUGCAAGUCGAGCGAAUGGAUUAAGAGCUUGCUCUUAUGAAGUUAGCGGCGGACGGGUGAGUAACACGUGGGUAACCUGCCCAUAAGACUGGGAUAACUCCGGGAAACCGGGGCUAAUACCGGAUAACAUUUUGAACCGCAUGGUUCGAAAUUGAAAGGCGGCUUCGGCUGUCACUUAUGGAUGGACCCGCGUCGCAUUAGCUAGUUGGUGAGGUAACGGCUCACCAAGGCAACGAUGCGUAGCCGACCUGAGAGGGUGAUCGGCCACACUGGGACUGAGACACGGCCCAGACUCCUACGGGAGGCAGCAGUAGGGAAUCUUCCGCAAUGGACGAAAGUCUGACGUAGCAACGCCGCGUGAGUGAUGAAGGCUUUCGGGUCGUAACACUCUGUUGUUAGGGAAGAACAAGUGCUAGUUGAAUAAGCUGACACCUUGACGGUACCUAACCAGAAAGCCACGGCUAACUACGUGCCAGCAGCCGCAGUAA